AUUGAACGCUGGCGGCAUGCCUUACACAUGCAAGUCAAACGGUAACAGGUCUUCGGAUGCUGACGAGUGGCGAACGGGUGAGUAAUACAUCGGAACGUGCCUAGUAGUGGGGGAUAACUACUCGAAAGAGUGGCUAAUACCGCAUGAGAUCUACGGAUGAAAGCAGGGGAUCGCAAGACCUUGUGCUACUAGAGCGGCCGAUGGCAGAUUAGGUAGUUGGUGGGAUAAAAGCUUACCAAGCCGACGAUCUGUAGCUGGUCUGAGAGGACGAUCAGCCACAAUGGGACUGAGACACGGCCCAGACUCCUACGGGAGGCAGCAGUGGGGAAUUUUGGACAAUGGGCGCAAGCCUGAUCCAGCAAUGCCGCGUGCAGGAUGAAGGCCUUCGGGUUGUAAACUGCUUUUGUACGGAACGAAAAGCCCCGGGUUAAUACCCUGGGGUCAUGACGGUACCGUAAGAAUAAGCACCGGCUAACUACGUGCCAGCAGCCGCGGUAA
rnacentral:rRNA from 1 species